rnacentral:misc_RNA from 1 species
GAUGAAGAACGUAGCGAAAUGCGAUACGUAAUGUGAAUUGCAGAAUUCAGUGAAUCAUCGAAUCUUUGAACGCAUAUUGCGCUCUCUGGUAUUCCGGAGAGCAUGCUUGUUUGAGUAUCAGUAAACACCUCAACUUCCAUAUCUUUUUUGAAAUGGGUGUUGGACUUGAGUGAUCCCAACGCUUUUCCUCACCGAAAAGUGGCGGGUUACUUGAAAUGCAGGUGCAGCUGGACUUUUCUCUGAGCUAUAAGCAUAUCUAUUUAGUCUGCCUAAAAAACAGAUUAUUACCUUUGCUGCAGCUAACAUAAAGGAGAUUAGUUCUUGUGCUGACUGAUGCAGGAUUCACAAAGACAGGCUUCGGCCGACUUUGUAAACUCGAUCUCAAAUCAAGUAAGACUACCCGCUGAACUUAAGCAUAUCAAUAAGCGGAGGA